CAUUGCUCUUGCAAUGGCUUCCACUGAUUUUAUGCUUCAUCAAUUCUGAUUUGAUUUUCUCUUUUUUUUUUCCACACCAGGGGUUGAUUUUGGGAGCACUUUUCUUGCAGCCUAGCUUCCUGGUAAGGGUUGAGGUAAUGUAAGUCUUUGCUCGGUUUGGUUUAACGAUGUGGGGGUGAGGCUCUUAUUUUUGUUGCAUAUCUAUUCUCCUCUUAGACCUUGUGAGGAAUAGUAAAUUUUUUUGGUCAGAUUAGUUGAGCUUAGAAUCAUAAUUAUAUUUUCUCUGGCCGUAAUGUUCAUUACUUAGUGAAUGCCUUGGUAAUUUAUUAUAACUUUAUGUAUUUGUUGUGACUAAACUGGUUGAUAAACUUUGGAAUUAUAGGAAACAGAUGGUCUAAAGGAUGCAUUAGGCAAUGAGAUACUGUAGCUUAAGGUAUUUUCUCUAUCCUGAUUCUCAAAUUGAUUUUGGAGACUGUACCUAUAUUUUCCUUUGGCUGUGUGUUCGACAGGAUCAACUUGGUUCAAGACAGAAGGCUAUUUCUUUCUUUGAGCGUGACAAUUCAAGCAACUAUCCGAUACCCGCCUACAUUGAGAUACCCACAGAUGGAACUGAGGAGUGGGAAAUUGACGUGAAACAGCUCCAAAUUGAAAAGAAAGUGGCAUCUUGGUUCGUAUGAGGGGAUCUGCACAGAGGCACUUAUUGCAGUCAGGAGGUUGCUAUCAAAUUUCUCAAACCUGAGCGUGUAAACGCGGAGAUGCUUAGAGAAUUUUCUCAGGAAGUUUAUAUUAUGAGGUUAAUGCAAUUAAUUUGAAUCAUGAUGUGGAAUGCAUAGUAAGAUUUGUUUACGGAGUAAGAUUUGUACGAUACAGAAUUGUCAAGGUUGCUGAUUUUGGAGUUGUCAGAGUACAGAUUGAAUCAGGGGUGAUGACAGCUGAAACAGGGACAUAUCGAUGGAUGGCUCCGGAGGUGAUUGAACACAAACCUUACAGUCACAAAGCAGACGUGUUCAGUUAUGGGAUAGUGAUAUGGGAACUUUUGACUGGUCAUAUCCCAUAUGCUUACUUGACUCCACUAUAAGCGGCUGUUGGCGUUGUUCAGAAGGGGCUUAGACCAAAGAUUCCAAAGAAGACACAUCCAAAAGUGAAGGGACUUCUACAGAGAUGCUGGAACCAAGACCCAAAAGACAGACCAGAGUUUGAGGAAAUCACAGAAAUGCUUCAACAUAUAAUGAUUGAGGUAAACGUCGUACCGUGAUGAUGAUCCGA